AUGGCGCAGGAAGGGGAAGAUAUCAGAGAUUACAAUUUGACUGAGGAACAGAAGGCAAUCAAGGCCAAGUAUCCGCCAGUCAAUAGGAAGUUCGAGUAUUUGGAUCAUACAACGGAUGUCCAGUUACACGCAUGGGGAGAUACUCUGGAGGAAGCAUUUGAGCAAUGUGCAAUGGCCAUGUUUGGUUACAUGACAGAUACUGGGACUGUGGAACCCCUCUAAACCAUAGAAGUAGAAACUGAAGGAGAUGACUUACAGUCUCUUCUGUUUCACUUUUUGAAUGAGUGGCUUUAUAAGUUCAGUGCUGAUGAAUUCUGCAUACCUCGGGUGGGGAGAAGAAUUUUCAUUGUCCAAGCACCCUCAGGGAACGGAAGUCAAAGCAAUAACAUAUUCAGCAAUGCAAGUCUAUAAUGAGGAGAAGCCAGAAGUUUUUGUGAUCAUUGAUAUUUAAGACACCAGAAAAAAAAGACACUCCUA